GACGAACCAAGCGAACGUUAUUCGGAAUUACUGGGCUUAAAGCGCGUGUAGGCGGAUGACCACGUCAGUCGUUGAAAUCCCCCGGCUCAACCGGGGAACAGGCGCUGAUACGAGUUGUCUGGAGGUGGGUAGGGGAGACUGGAACUUCCGGUGGAGCGGUGAAAUGCGUUGAGAUCGGAAGGAACGCCCGCGGCGAAAGCGAGUCUCUGGACCCAUACUGACGCUGAGACGCGAAAGCCAGGGGAGCAAACGGGAUUAGAUACCCCGGUAGUCCUGGCUGUAAACAUUGGGCACUGGGUAGUGGAACCGCCGAUGGUUUCACUGCCGCAGGGAAACCGUGAAGUGCCCCGCCUGGGGAGUAUGGUCGCAAGGCUGAA
rnacentral:rRNA from 1 species